UCUCUGGAAAUAUAUCAAUGACAUGUAUUUUUUUUUUUUUUUUGCACAUCCAUGAUAAUCCAAUUUAUAAUGAUAUAUUACUCAUAUUGUGAAGUGGAAGGAAAAUAUACAUCAGUUUGUAUUUUAUGUUUUUUCCAUCCUCAUUCAAAACAACAACGAUACCAACACCACCACCACCACCACCACCACCACUCUGUAAAUUACACGCAUAUUAUUCAUGUUCAAAUUAUAUAUGGAUUUCAUUUUCUUGUUUCUUGUUUGUUUGUUUGUUUGUUGAUGAUGAUGAUGAUCAAAUAAAAUCAAGAUCCAAGUACAAUUGCAUGCCAACCGAUAAGAUUUAUCAUUCAAUCAAUUAUCAUCAUCCAAUUAAUUAUAUCAUCAUCAGCUUAGUGUGAAAUACGUUCAUUUAUAUUAUUUCCAUAAACAAUAACGACUACGACGACGACAAUGAUGAUGAUGUAUAUUAACGACAUUCGAAUGUGAAGUUUUUCUUGUGAAUUUGUGUGUGUGUAUAAAAUAGUUAAUUAGUUAAAUUCAUUUUUUUUCCAGAAAAAUUGUUCCGUUUUUUUUGCCAUAAACAUCUGUUUGUUUGUUUGAUGAAUAUAGUAUCUUUUAUUCGAGAGAUCGAUUGAUAGAUAGAUUGCAUGCAGCAUCAUUUUCAUAUUAUCCAUCCAUAUACACACAGACACA